GAUGAACGCUGGCGGCGUGCCUAAUACAUGCAAGUCGAGCGAACAGAUGAGGUGCUUGCUCCUCUGACGUUAUCGGCGGACGGGACAGUCACAUGUGGACAACCUACCUAUCAGACUGGGAUAACUUUGGCAAACCGGAGCUAAUACCGGAUAAUAUAUUGAACUGCAUGGUUCCAUAGUGAAAGUCGGUUUUUCUGUCAGUUAUAGAUGGAUCCGCGCCGCAUUAGCUAGUUGGCAAGGUAGAGGCUUACCAAGACAACGAUGCGUAGACGCCCUGAACGCGUGGUCGCCCACACUGGCACAGAGGCACGUUCCACACUCCUGCGGUGGGCAGCCGUCGAGAAUCUUCCGGGAUGGAGGAAUGGGGGACGGUGGAACGUCGGGGGAAGGCUGAAGGUGUUCGGACCGGUGAACUCUGUAAGUAUGGAAGAUGAAAAGUGUAUGUACCUAUGAACGUCAUGACGGUACCUAGUGAAAAAGCCACGGCUAACUACGUG
rnacentral:rRNA from 1 species